rnacentral:rRNA from 1 species
CACGUAGGGCGCAAGCGUUGUCCGGAAUUAUUGGGCGUAAAGAGCGUGUAGGCGGCUCGGUAAGUCCGCUGUGAAAGUCCAGGGCUCAACCCUGGAAUGCCGGUGGAAACUGUCGAGCUAGAGUCCGGAAGAGGCGAGUGGAAUUCCUGGUGUAGUGGUGAAAUGCGCAGAUAUCAGGAGGAACACCAAUGGCGAAGGCAGCUCGCUGGGACGGUACUGACGCUGAGACGCGAAAGCGUGGGGAGCAAACAGG